rnacentral:lncRNA from 1 species
UUUUUCUUGAUUUUGAUUUUGAUUUUUCUUUUGAUUUUCACCCUCCUCUUUUUUUGUUGUUUUUUUUAUUACAUUUGUAAUGCCCCAGUUGGACUGUUUUGCUGAUUCUCGAGAUACAUCUGAGUGAUCUUCUUUUCUUGCUCAAGAAGUCGGGAAAUAUCGUCAGAAAUCCCUUCAACAUCCUCUUCUUCCGCUUCGAAUACAGGGAAUUCAAAGUUGGGAGAUGGCGUUG